GUUAAUGUAGCUUAAUUCAAAGCAAAGCACUGAAAAUGCUUAGAUGGUUUAUAUAUUAAACCCAUAAACA
rnacentral:tRNA from 1 species